rnacentral:rRNA from 1 species
CAGGGCUUGACAUCCCUCUGAAACCUCUAGAGAUAGAGGCUCCCUUCGGGGCAGAGGUGACAGGUGGUGCAUGGUUGUCGUCAGCUCGUGUCGUGAGAUGUUGGGUUAAGUCCCGCAACGAGCGCAACCCUUAUCUUUAGUUGCCAGCAUUCAGUUGGGCACUCUAGGGAGACUGCCGUCGACAAGACGGAGGAAGGUGGGGAUGACGUCAAAUCAUCAUGCCCCUUAUGUCCUGGGCUACACACGUGCUACAAUGGAUGGAACAACGGGCAGCUAACUCGCGAGAGUAUGCAAAUCCCUUAAAACCAUUCUCAGUUCGGAUUGCAGGCUGCAACUCGCCUGCAUGAAGCCGGAAUCGCUAGUAAUCGCGGAUCAGCAUGCCGCGGUGAAUACGUUCCC